UGCUUUUUCUCUUUAAAAUUUUAUCUUGAUUCCACUUCUCCAGACUCCUAUGGAAAUAAAUCAUACAGCUCAAAAUUCGUCAGAGCAGCUAUUGGAAGAACUUUUAGGUCUUAAAUAACGAAUGUUUGAUGUCUAUACAUAUUUGGUGGAACAUUAUUAUACUGCCAUUCUAAAACCAGAAGAAUUUGUGUCAGUAUGUUUUACAUGAGAUUGCCAUUAAACAUCAUCUGUUAUUAGGGAAAAAGGCUGACAGUAAUGAGUAAUCCAAGAACGAAGAAUUAUCUGAAUUGGAGGAGAUUUAGUUGAAAAUGAGUGAAAUGGAAUCAUGGUGGAUAGACAUUGGCUGGCUGCCACACUCCCGCCCAGCUGCUCUCUUUCUCCCUCUCCUCAGCAGGACAGGGAGAGAAAAUAAGAUGAAAAGCUCAUGGAUCAAGGUAAAGACAGGAAGAUCACCCAUCAGUUACCAUCAAGGGCAAAACAGACUUGACCCAGAGAGAGCAAAUUUAAUGUAUUGCCAACUAGAUAGAACUGGGCAGUAAAACUCAAAGACAAAAAUUAAAACAUCUUCCUCCCAGCUUCUCCUUCUAGGCUCAGAUUAACUCAUUUGGUUCAGACUACUUUACCUCCUUACCUACAGCAGUGCUAGGCAGGUGAGGAAUGUUGGUUUACGCAGGUACAUUAGCCAGGAAAAAAAAAAGCAAAGAAGAGCAUACCCCCUCUGAGAACUAAGAAGGAAGAACUGACAACAGUCUGAACUACUCAGCAAGUUUUUCCUCAGCCUUCACUGGCAGUCAGGAUUUUCAUGUCUAUCAAGUCCCUGAACUUCUAGUUGGGGGCUGAGGGAGUAGAAUCUGUGCAGCAAAGAGCAGGUUAGGGACCACCUGAUCAGACUGGGAGCUACCCAGAUGUCAGCUAGGAAAGAAACAUGGUGGACUUCAAGAAAUCCAGGAGAGUCCUGGAGUCUGCUGAGAAUAACUUCUUGGUUCAAGUAUUGGACAGAAAAGGUGUUACUGAAUCAGGUGCUCACAAGUGCAGAGGACAUCGUAAGAGCUUAAGAAUGAGGCAGACUGGUUUGUGGUCACUAUUCCCUGACUGAAUUCAUGAUCUUAAGGAAUAUGGGCCUCGCAAAAAGCAGAUUCAGGACCCUGUACUACUCCUGUUUUCAGGGCUGGUGAGUCCGUAGUUCAUAUAUAGUUUUCAGUUUUGGGUCCCUCUUUGCAAAAAAGACAUUGAGGCACAGGUGCAUGUCCAAAUGCAGGCAACCUAGUUGCUACAAGGUCUGGAGCAUGUGUCUUAUAAGGAGUGGCUGAAGGAACUGGAAUUUUUUUUUGUGUGUGGAAAGGAGGCUCAGGGGGACUCCCAGUCUCUCUUUACACUUGCCUAAAAGGAAUUUUUAAUGAGGUAGGUGUCAACCUCUUCUGCCACAUAACUAGUGAUAGGACCAGAAUGGCCUUAAGCUGUGCCAGGGGAGGUUCAGGUCAGAUACUCAGAAACAGUUCUUAGAAAGAUUGGUAAUGAACAGGCUGUCUAGGGAGGUAGUGGAGUAACUGUGUUCAAGAAACAUGUAGAUGUGGUACUGAGGAAUAUAUUUUAGUGGGCAUGGUGAUGAUGGGUUGAUGGCUGCACUAGAUGAUUUCAGAGGCUUUUCCAUCCUUAAUGAUUUUAUGAUUCUGAGGUUCUGUGAUUCCAUGCACAAUAGAAUUUCUGCUCUGGUGCACUUACUUUCCUUUUCCUCUGACCUUGGUUUCUGCAGGUCUGUUUUUCACACCUUUUUUCUCUCAAUGCUGUCACAUGCUGCCUGGUAGUAGUUUCUUAAAUCAGCUGUGCCCUGCAGUGGGGCUGUUGGAGCCAUCUGAAAUUGGCUGUGUCCAACAUAGAGCAGGGUAGGCCUCAACUCUCAAAGGAGUCUGUCACCUCUCAGCCAGAACCAGGCACUCACACCUCAUACGUUAAUACAGGUCAGGUUUGCAUUAAAAUGCACUAGCCUAGAAGCCAAACUAUCCAUCCUUGCCAUUUACUACAUCUGAAUGACAGUAAUUUAAAACAAAAGAAAUAAAAUCAAUUAAAUACGUUUACUUAUUGAUAAA
ensembl:lncRNA